AAUCCCCUCUACUAUGCGCUACGACAUUCACUGUGCCGCCUCCACGCACUCCAUCGCGCCGACUCCUCCCCGCCUGCCUCCGCACCUGCUGCCCUCGCCGGCUGCUCGCCCCUAAUGCCGCCUGACUUUGAGGUUGCCCUGGCCUGCUGCCCGCCCUUGCCGUCGUCCUUGGCUGGCUGCUCACCGCCGACCUCAACCAGCCAGCCGCCUGCCCUAGGAGAGCCCAGAGAGUUUCCCCAGCAGAUCGAGUUUCCCUAGUCGUGCGGAGAGUCCGUUUCAGUGGUUGACGGCGACGAACUGCUGGAGGACGUGCUCCAGGAUCUGCUCCGCUCUGUUUCCCCUAUCCACAUCUCGAUCUGCUAGAGGAUCUGCCCAAUCCGAAGCAUGACUCCGGCCAGGAAAGAUGUGUCACUUGAUGAUAGACGGCAGUAGUUAUGUUCCAAACUGUGUCAUGAUUUGGCCGAGCUGUUGUAAUACCGUCAAAGGCUGUUGUAAUACAUGCCUCAAACAAAUGAUACAAGAUGGCUACAAAUAAACAAAGCUCGUUGCACAAAUGUUUCCCUUAUGCCUACUUUAUAUAUGAGGUCUGAAGUCUUGUCUAGUCUGACUAAAUCUUCCAGUGCAUCCUAUGUCUAAAACCCAACAAAAUGCUUACAGUUAACAGAGGUGCAAAUUCAUAUGUAUGGGGUCUGACUAUAUUCCAAGUUGUAUACAGAUUUUAAUAUUGGUCUAGAUUGGCAUUUUAUAUUGGCUCACUUGUUUUUUUUGGUAAAGUAGGUGGUGAAUAUCUUGCAAGCAUUUCUAAUUUUCCUGAACAAUCAAAGCAGUUCGCCUUCAUUGCUAAGAAGUUGUUGGUUGAAGGAGCUUCUGUGAAACGGUAACCCUAGCUGCUUAGGUUUUGCUCAUAUGUCCCUUCGUUCUCUCCUUUCCCCAAAUUGAUAUGGUUCCUUGAUCUAUGAUGCCUGCAAUUUCCUGUGAAUUAAUUUCCCCAAACUAAGAACUUAAAGGUCCAUUACCGUGUGAUUUGCUGCUGCUAACAUGUUACACGGAGAUGAAGUCUGGAGUAAAACACUCAUUCUUACUUUUGUGGUUUCCUGUCUUUUAAGAACAAACACUUGAAAAAUGCUAUGCAAUGCAAUUUGUAGGUGAGGUGUACUGCACUAAUUUUGGUGGAUGUAGGUUUAAUGUACUGUGCAUUAGAUAAAUGGCUACGGUAUGAUUUGGUAUCUCUAGUAAAAGUUUUGAAAAUUUUCCCACUAAAGGCUUGCACUACUAUUGAUGUUUGUAUAGAUCAUGCAUAGAACUAGUGGUUGAUAUAGUCAUAGGUUUGAUAUAGUCACAGGUUUGUUACUUUCUUUCAGAGUAGUACGAUAGUGUGCUCUUGUCUUCUUAGUUUAAGUGGUAUGAUCUAUGUGCUGCAACCAAAGUUCAACAUAAUUCUGCUGAAAUUCUGUUGGGCCUAUGCUGAAAUUUGAUUAGUAGUUCUAGACUUCACUAUUCUGCCAAUUUUUGGUACAUUGUAUCAACAUUUAUUAAGAGUUGUGAUGCUUGUGCUUUUACAUCUCUGUUGUGCUUGGAUGGUUGCUAUAGAAAGUUUCAUGCCUCUUGCAGUUUUUGAUUGUCUUGGAACAAUAUGACCUAGAGAGCAACUUUAGAAAAGUGGCAUGGUGAUAAGGACCAAUAGGCAGUGUAUGUUGCAUUGACUCAUCUUAUCUCUUCCUCGCUGGUGAUAAGGACCAAUAGGCAGCAAGUAUAAUUAUAGCUUCACAUGUCGAGCUUCCAAAAACUUGCAAGUUGCAGAUUUGUAGUGCAAUGGUUAAUUGCAAGUUUUUUUUGAAGUCGGUUAAUUGCUAGGUGCAGCAAGUUCAAUAGCACAAUAGUUGCUACUAUUUUAGCUACUCAGAUUUCUUCAGUUUAGAUAAAAGAACUGUUGUUUGGUCCUUUUAAUAUGCACUAUUGCUUGCUCCUUUUUCAAAAUAUAUCUGUUUAUAAUGCAAAGCAAGAUCCACUUGAGCAAAGAUGUAAUCUUAGAAACAGAGUUUAGCAUGAAGAACAUAAAUAAGAUAAAUAUGUAGAUAUAUAGACAUUGUGAUUUUUUUUAAACUCCUAACCUGUUUUGGUUAUCUACCUAGCUUCUAUUAAGUCACUAGUAAACUAGUAUAUGUUAAUUUGGUUAUCUACCUAGUUUUGACUUAUCUAAAGCUCCAAACUACUAUGUGCACCUUAAAUUAGUAUUAUUAAACUAUGUGCUAUGUUUGGUAUGUUAGAUUUUAUGCUAAAGGCAUGUUAGCAUUUCUUGAUGUGAUUGAGCAGGUGAAGAACAAGAUCAACAAGAGAGUUGAUUGUCACAGUAGUUUCUGACAAAUUAUUUACUCGUCACGUUAAGUGACUAGUUUGAUGUUAAAUGACAUUAUAUGUAUAUAAUGUACUUGUUCGAUACAUGAAUCAAUGUAUGAUAAUGUGAUCACUUUUGAAUGUCA